rnacentral:rRNA from 1 species
CCUACGGCGGGGCAGCAGUGGGGAAUAUUGGACAAUGGGGGGAACCCUGAUCCAGCCAUGCCGCGUGUGUGAAGAAGGCCCUCGGGUUGUAAAGCACUUUCAGUGAGGAAGAACGCCUGGUGGUUAAUACCCAUCAGGAAAGACAUCACUCACAGAAGAAGCACCGGCUAACUCCGUGCCAGCAGCCGCGGUAAUACGGAGGGUGCGAGCGUUAAUCGGAAUUACUGGGCGUAAAGCGCGCGUAGGUGGCUUGAUAAGCCGGUUGUGAAAGCCCCGGGCUCAACCUGGGAACGGCAUCCGGAACUGUCAAGCUAGAGUGCAGGAGAGGAAGGUAGAAUUCCCGGUGUAGCGGUGAAAUGCGUAGAGAUCGGGAGGAAUACCAGUGGCGAAGGCGGCCUUCUGGACUGACACUGACACUGAGGUGCGAAAGCGUGGGUAGCAAACAGGAUUAGAUACCCGAGUAGUC